UCGAGGGGUAAGCUACUUCGGUAGCCUAGACCGGCGCACGGGUGCGUAACGCGUGUACAAUCUACCUUUUACAGAGGGAUAACCUGAAGAAAUUUGGACUAAUACCUCAUAGUAUUAUUUUGUGGCAUCACAGGAUAAUUAAAGCUAAGGCGGUAAAAGAUGAGUACGCGUUCUAUUAGCUAGUUGGUAAGGUAACGGCUUACCAAGGCUACGAUAGAUAGGGGUUCUGAGAGGGAUGUCCCCCACACUGGUACUGAGACACGGACCAGACUCCUACGGGAGGCAGCAGUGAGGAAUAUUGGACAAUGGUCGGAAGACUGAUCCAGCCAUGCCGCGUGCAGGAUGACGGCCUUAUGGGUUGUAAACUGCUUUUGCAGGGGAAGAAUAAGGAGUACGUGUACUUUGAUGACGGUACUCUGCGAAUAAGCAUCGGCUAACUCCGUGCCAGCAG
rnacentral:rRNA from 1 species